GACGAACGCUGGCGGCGUGCUUAACACAUGCAAGUCGAACGGAAAGGCCCUGCUUUUGUGGGGUGCUCGAGUGGCGAACGGGUGAGUAACACGUGAGUAACCUGCCCUUGACUUUGGGAUAACUUCAGGAAACUGGGGCUAAUACCGGAUAGGAGCUCCUGCUGCAUGGUGGGGGUUGGAAAGUUUCGGCGGUUGGGGAUGGACUCGCGGCUUAUCAGCUUGUUGGUGGGGUAGUGGCUUACCAAGGCUUUGACGGGUAGCCGGCCUGAGAGGGUGACCGGCCACAUUGGGACUGAGAUGCGGCCCAGACUCCUACGGGGGGCAGCAGUGGGGAAUAUUGCACAAUGGGCGGAAGCCUGAUGCAGCAACGCCGCGUGCGGGAUGACGGCCUUCGGGUUGUAAACCGCUUUCGCCUGUGACGAAGCGUGAGUGGCGGUAAUGGGUAAAGAAGCACCGGCUAACUACG
rnacentral:rRNA from 1 species